CGCGGGGUAGAGCAGUCCGGCAGCUCGUUGGGCUCAUAACCCAAAGGUCGUAGGUUCAAAUCCUACCCCCGCAACCA
rnacentral:tRNA from 1 species